rnacentral:rRNA from 1 species
UGGGGAAUAUUGCACAAUGGGCGCAAGCCUGAUGCAGCCAUGCCGCGCGUAUGAAGAAGGCCUUCGGGUUGUAAAGUACUUUCAGCGGGAGGAAGGGAUGGUGGUUAAUAACCGCAUUCAUUGACGUUAUCCGCAGAAGAAGCACCGGCUAACUCCGUGCCAGCAGCCGCGGUAAUACGGAGGGCGCAAGCGUUAAUCGGAAUUACUGGGCGUAAAGCGCACGCAGGCGGUCUGUCAAGUCGGAUGUGAAAUCCCCGGGCUCAACCUGGGAACUGCAUUCGAAACUGGCAGGCUUGAGUCUCGUAGA